ACCCACCAAUAGCCAACAAAGGCAGAGAAGUCAAUCUUGGGCAUCUCUAAUUGUUGAAGGGAAGUGAAAUUCCAUGCAAAGUUCUUCAAACCCAGCAAACUAAAUCACUCAUGAUCACGUAGACUUGAAUAUGCACAAAAUUUCCUAGGUCUGAUUUCAAUAAAUCACAUUCACAUGCAUACAUCAUCAGAUUGUAGUCAUUGUCUUGAUAUCUUCUCUACUUCUAUUUGUUACUGAACAUUCCAAUCUGUCCUGUUCAAACAAAAUAAUUGAGAGAACUCAUACAACAAUUGCCAAUUGUUGAUGGAAGUGCUUGGAAUCUGCAGAAAUCUUUCUUAACAAAAUAAAGUUUAAAUGACUAACCAGGAUAGGCAGUGAGGUUUUUUUAGCUCUGCAUUUUUUACAAGUUUUUGACAAGGUUUGUGUAGACAAUCUUUGCCUGAAACCAAAGUGCUCCUGACAGUUAGCUUUUGAACUCUCCAUAGAAGUUAGCUUUUGAAGCAACGAGUCAGAAAAACAUAGGCCAAUUCCUGAAGAGAAAAACACAAAUGCGGGCAGAAAGUGAAGAAUAUCUAACUAACAAUCUCUAGAUAACUGUAACAGAAGGAAACAAAUCAACAUUUCUAAGAUUUUUCUUAUGCAAGAUUUUAUCCAGAAAUCAAAGUUUUCAGAGAAAAUUAGAAAUGGCAAUAAAUAACAAAGGAAAUGUUCAAAUUUCUUUCGUACUUCUGCAAUAUGUCAAGAUGAAUAUGAGAAGCACUGGAUUAAGAAAUCAUCGAAUUGCUCAAUGAUUGAUGUCUCCGACGCAAAAAUCAUCCUUGGUUAUUUUUCAAUUGCGAUCUUAGAAUUUCAGGAAUGUGCAACAACUGCAGCCCAGUGAUUUCUUAAACUCAAUGCCCAGUGUAUGGGGACCUGAAACUCCAGUCAAAAUCAUUGAAAAAUCAUGUUCAAAUUACUAAAAAGGAUAACAUCAGGAACUUUGUAAAAUGAAAUGACAAUAAUAAACAGUUACUGCAUACAUACGAUUGUUCUGUUUCCAUUCCAUGUGUUAUCCUUGUGCUUGAUUCUUGCAUUUGACUUGUAAAAUGUUGCUGAACAAAAGCAUUAAAUUCUCUGAGGUAAUCCUUUACUCUCCAUGAAAACCAUCCUAUCCAUCAUUGUAAAAUGGUCAUAUCUUUAGGAACACUUGUUUAUGCAAAAAUUCAAAAUAAGUUUUUUCAAAUCUGAGCUAGGUGAUUGUGGGUACAUUGCCGAGUGGAUUGCCUUGUGUUGCAUUCCCUUCUCAUUCCCUUCUCAUUCCCUUCUCACAUCAGUGUCUGCCUUUUUAUGACUUUCACCAUGUGAUUUUUAGAUGCCGUCAGUGAUUUUCGAAUUUUUUUCUCUCUCUUUUGGUUUCUCUUAUUGUUUGGCUAUUAGUUUUUCUCGAUUUGCCAUGUGAAUCUCAAUGGGUUUUGUUUGGAAAUUCUAGCGAUGGUAUAGUCUCCUUCAUUUCUACAAACGGCGCCUCUUGAUAAUGAUGAGAUUCAGCGAGACGUCCAGAUGAGGACACUUAGAUAGAGGACUGAUUCGCUGGGUUGGUUAUAAGGAAUAGAACCUGUAAAAUGAAGAAAACAGUCAGGAAAUCACUGGGAAAGUUUCCUGUAAUACCUUGCUAGACUCCGGUAUCGGAAUUCCUACUAUCCGAUGGAAUCUCGGAUGUCGGAAACCUCUAGAAGGGUAUAAUCAUGUUUUUUACAAAUGUUUUAAUGUAUUUUAUGGUUUUAAGCAAGAAAGAAAUUUAGUUUUGAAUGAAAAUAACUAUGGAGAGAAAUCCAGGUUCGGCCGCCGAACUUACAUGCGUUUUGGAGUCACCUUCGGCUCCUGAAGGUGGUCUGGCCAGCCAUCUAUAAAAGUCCCCAAGGCCGAAAACGGGCGAGUUUCCUCCCCCAUUUUCGGCCAACGGUGAGUCCAUGCUCUCCCAUAGUUGGUUUUGAUGAUUUUCCUCAAAUCUUUCAAGAUUUAACUAGUUUUAACUUGGUUUUAAAGAUUUUUGAGCUCAAGAUCGAGUUUUGGAACUUGGAGACCAAGGAGUGGAUUUCUCUCCAUCUCCGAGCUAGGAUCGUCUCUCAUCUCGAUUUUCAAGAGGUAAGCUUAGAUCCUACCAUUCUUGUAUGUUUUAAACAAGUUUUAUGAUGGUAUAUGGGGUAGAAAUAUAUGUUUAGGUUAGUUGUAUGUUGAUAGGGUUUUAUGUGAGUUUAUAGACAAUGUGGGUUGUUUGAGUUAAUGCUAUGUGUUUUUGUUGGGGUUUAGGAUAGUUUGAGACCCUUAUAUGCUUGUUGUUUGGGAUAUGCAUGUUGUAGAAUAGCCAAAUGCAUAUUUGAAUGUUUUGGGAGGCAAAAUAUGCAUGAAGAGACUGGGUUCUGUCACUUUGGGAGAACCCAGGUUCGGCAGCCGAAGGACUUUCGGCCGCCGAACCUGCCUGUGGAGGCAAACCUUUAGCUGCCGAACCCUGUUCCCGAAAGUGGACUUUCGUCUCUGGAGGGGAGUUUCGACCGCCGAAGGUACCGCCGAACAUGCAUGAGUUUCGUCUCUGGAAGGGACUUUCGGCCGCCGAAGGUGCCGCCGAAAGUGACUAAGUUUCGGCUCUGGAGGGACUUUUGGCCGCCGAACCUGCCGCCGAAAGUGCCCUGUUCAGCCUUCCUUUGCAUGAUUUCUAUGAUUGUUUUAUGAGGUUUUAGGGGGUUUUUGGGGGGAUGUUUAGUGUCAUGAUAGUCUAUAUUUGGUCCCUCAUUUGAGUCCACCUAUGUAGGUUCGGACCCGAGUGUAAUACCCGGCUAGACUCCGGUAUCGGAAUUCCUACCGUCCGGUGGAAUUUGGAUGUCGAAAACCUCUAGAAGGGUAAAAUCAUGUUUUCAUAAAAUGUUUUCAUGUAUUUAAGAUUUUUAUAUGAAAAGGAAUUUGAGUUUGAAAUGAAAAAGACCAUGGAGGUUUCCCCAGGUUCGGCCGCCGAAACUCAAAGUUCGGCCGCCGAACAUUUGAGAGUUUAGGAGGGAAGUUAGGCACCCGAAAGUUGGCUCAGGUUUGGCCGCCGAACCUCAAUGUUCGGCCGCUGAACUUGCAUGAGUUUAGGAGGCACUUUAGGCCUCCGAAGGUGGUUUGGCCAGCCCCUAUAUAAGAGCUCCAUGGCCGAAACGGGUGAGUUUUCUCCCCAUUUUCGACCACGGUGAGUUCUCGCCCUCCCAUGGUCCAUUUUUGAUGUUUUUCCUCCAAUCUUUCACGUUUUCAUGAGUUUUAUGUUGGUUUGAAGGUUUUAAGCAAGUUUUGAGCUUGGAGAUCCAAGGAAGCUAAAAAUCUCCCAUCUCCAAGUUUAGGCCGUCUCCCUCUCGAUCUUCAAGAGGUAAGGGCCGAUCUUGAACUCUUUUUAUGUUUUAAGUAAGCUUUAAGUUGAUUCAUGGGGUAGAAAUGCAUGAUUAGGCAUAUGUUGAGUUUAUGGGUUCAUGUUGAUGUUUUGAGCAAUGUAUGUUGAUUGUGUGUGUUUGAUGUGUUGUAGAUGGGGUUUAAGGUAGUUUGAGACCCCUAGGAGCUUGUGGUAUGAGUAUGCAUGUUGUAGAAUAGGAUUUAUGCAUGAUUGAUGGUUUGGAAGGCAAAUGUGCAUGUUUGAACCAAGUUUCUGCCCUUUGGCAGAAACCAGGUUCGGCAGCCGAAAGGAUUUUCGGCCGCCGAACCUGCCUGUGAGGCAGCAUUUCGGCUGCCGAACCCCUGCCCCCCGAAAGGUGACUUUCGGAUCUGUCUGGGAGUUUCGGCCGCCGAAGGUGCCCCCGAACAUGCAUGAGUUUCGUCUCUGUCUGGGAGUUUCGGCCGCCGAAGGUGCCGCCGAACCUGCCUGACUUUCUGCUCGGGAGGGACUUUCGGCCGCCGAACCUGCCGCCGAAAGUGCCCUGUUCAGCCAUUUCUUGCAUGUUUUUGCAUGAUUGUUUCAUGAUGUUUGAGGGGGGUUUUUGGGGAGUAGUUUAGAGUUAUGUUCAAGUAUGUUUGGUCCCUCAUUUGAGUCCACCUGUGUAGGUUCGGACCCGAGAAACCGAGGACCCCAGCAGUGAGUCAGCUGCUUCAGUCAUUGUCAGAGCUAGCCAGAGGUGAGUGGAAUAAACUCUUAUGUUUUAAAGCAAUUAAAUAUGAAAAGUUUGAGCAUGAACCAUGCAUCAUGAAUGCCAUGUGAACUUUUAGGUUGUUUGCAUUAGAAUUUCACGAAUAUGUGCAUUGCAUAAUUUGAUGAUGAUGUGGAUUGAUUAUUGGAUGAUCCUUUAGUCCUCAUAUGAUAUGAUGACGAUACGGUGCGGAAGUCCAGGUUGUACCCAUUCUACGUCCCUGACACAAAGAAAGAGAAAGUCCAGGUUGUACCUAUUCUACGUCCCUGACAUUUUGGAAUGUUAUGUUAUGUUAAGUAAGAGAAAGUCCGGUUGUACCCAUUCUACGUCCCGGCACAUUGGAAUGUAGAGGACUAUUGGUGACAAUGCCAUCCGUGAUGUGAUAUGUUUUGUGUUAUGAUGCAUUACAUGAAAGCAUGAAAUUUAAUUAUAAUGUUUUUCUAUUCUGCUCACUGGGCUUUAUAGCUCACCCCUCUCCCCUAACCCCAGGUUUGCAGGUACCGGGUAGAUAGAGAAGUCAAGAAGAGUAAAGUCACGUUUAUGUAAUAGAUAGAAUGUGGACAUGACAAAUUGUAAAAUGAUGUAAUGUUAUGAUUAGAAAUGUAUAGAAUGAAAUGUAUGAUGAUUGAGGAUUAGAGAUAGUGCUUGACCCUAUGUACAUUGUUAUCCCUUUUAUUACAUGAUCUCAGAUGUUUCAUGAUAGAUGUAAACCAGCUCAACACAUGUAUGUUGUCCAUUGGGGCAUUGAUGAGAUCCCUAGAGGAUUAAUGUAUAGUAUGUUUAUGAUCAGUACAUGUACAUGUUGAGUUGGUGUAUGAGAGUAUGUAUGAAAGAAAAAGUUUUUUUUUUACAGGUUUAUGAGUAUGUUUGAUCAUGUAUGGGAUUACACAGGUUUACAGGAUGUAUGUUAGGCUUGCUACGGGUCCCGGCGGCCUUAAGCCGAUCUAGAUCGUAGCGCCGGUAGCGGUCCGGUUCCCGGAUCGUUACACCGAGGAACCAGGGACUCCAGCAAUGAGAUAGUUGCUUCAGAGUCUUUUCAGAGCUAGCCUAAGGUGAGUAGAAUGGAACUUUAUGUUUUAAAGUAAAUAAAUUUUGAGCAUGUUCAUGCAUCACGAAUACCAUGAUAUAUAUACUAGGUUGUUUGCAUUAGAAUUCACGAAUAUGUUGCAUUGCAUACUAUGAUGUUGAUGUGGAUGGAUAUUGGAUGACCCAUUAGUCCUCGAUAUGAUGUGAUGAUGAUAUGGUAUGGAAGUCCGGUUGACCCAUUCUACGUCCCGGCAUAAUGUAAGAGAAAGUCCGAUUGACCCAUUCUACGUCCCGGCACAUUGGAAUGUUAUGAUAUGUUAUGUUUAAGAGAAAGUCCGGUUGACCCAUUCUACGUCCCGGCACAUUGGAAUGUAGAGGUCUAUUGGUGACAAGUCUGUCCUUGAUGUGAUUUGCUGUGAUGUGAUGCAUUUCAUGAUGGCAUGUUUUACUUAACAGUUUUUAGUUUUGCUCACUGGGCUCUAGUAGCUUACCCAUUUCCCCUAACACCCAGGUGUGCAGGUACGAGCUAGACCAGGAAGUCGAGAAGAGUAAAGUUAUGUGUAAUGUAAUAGCUAGAGUGGAUAUGAUGAAUUGUAUUAUGUUGUAAUGUAAAGGAUAGUACAGUAUUGUUAUGUAAUGAUGUAUUUGAGGAUUAGAAUUGUGCUUGACCCUAGCAUGUAUGGUGAAUCCCUUUUUAUACAUGAUCUAUAAAAUAUUUUUAUGAUGCUUAUGUUUAACCAGGCUUAUUGUAUGUUAUGAUACCCCAUUGGAGCAUUUGAUGAUGGCUCCAGUGUGAGGUUUAUGUAUAUGUAUGUGUGCAUUGCACAAGUUAAGCUUGGUUAAUGAAAGAAAAAGUUUACAGUCUUUAUGUAUAUGUAUGGUCAUGUAUGGGAUUUGACAGGUAUACAGGUUAUAUGUCAGGCUUGCUACGGGUCCCGGCGACCUUAAGUCGAUCUGGAUCCUAGCGCUGGUAGCGGUCCGGUUUCCGGGUCGUUACAUUUCCGGUGGAGAUCCUCCGACACUCAAGUUAGAUCUGAGAACUUCAUGGAGUUAAAGGAAGUAAAAUAGAGAAGAAAAGAGAAUGGUGAUUUUGGGUUGUCCUUGUGUGACCGCGAGAGAGAGAUAGAUUCCCUGUGUGACCGCAAGAGAAAUAAAUCCUUUUCAGAAAAGGAGAGAUCUCUUUUGAUGCAUAAAUACCUUUGAAUAAAAUUGAUAUUCCUGGUAUCAUGUCCCCAUCUGAUGAGUAGGAAUGAUGGGUUAUAUGAUAAUAAGUACGGAGUUGGCCAGUUUGUACCCUCUACAUGUGCACUUACGAUCCCUGUGUUGAACCAAGUAGGCGAUCAGUUCAUAGGAAGUCAACAUCUUUACUUUGAUUUAUCAGGUUGGUCGUGUCGGACUCGUCCAAUCUACAUAGAAAUGAGCUCCUUCCGAUUACUAGUGUGGUUAGUCGCUGUUCAAAAUCUUAUCAUAAUAUAGGCUUUUGAGAAUAUUCAUCUGUCUGUCCUCUCCGAUCUUUAAAGAGAUCAGUUUGUCCGUUUUAGGUUUAGAUAAAUUCAAGAGUGCUACUGAUAUGAUUUUUUGUACUCAAUAAAUCAGAUUUUUUACUAUCCAGUUCGACUAGAUAAAAAGACUUUCAAUUCACACGUACACAUGUCACGAUUUUGAAAAUCUUAUUUUUUAUACCAUAAAUAAUUCUAAUCAAAUAUAAGUUUUAUUAAAUUUAUUUUAGACAAAUCAACAUAAAUUUAUUGAACUUAGUAUAAUAAAUUAUUUAUCAAAACUAUUGCACUAAUUUUUAAUUUAAAUUUUUUAAUAUAAUAUUUUAUCUGUAAUAUUUAUUAUAAGAUCAUUAUACAGUUUGUUUAUUUUCAAAUAGCUCCUUAAAAUAAUAAUUUUAAUUUUUUAAAAUGUUGACUUUUAUGAAGUCUUGGUCUUCUUAAAAUAAACAACACUCCAUAUCUCUGUCAUCAGAUCAUCACAUGAAGAAGAUAAUUUAAAAUACAAAAUUUAUUAUUCGAUUUUGUUUAUUGACUUUUUGAGUAUAAUUUAAUUUGCUUAAAUAAAUGACACUCCGUAACUGUCAUCCUUUUUUUUUUUUUUUUUUNAAAUAUGUUACAUUGGUUUAAGAUUCUAGACUAUACAAAGGGCUAUAAAACAGAAAGAUUCAAAAUAUAUAUAAAAAAAAAAAUCAAACCAAAAGUAAAUAAAUUAAAAUCAGACUAAAAAAUAUAAAUCAAACCUAAACUAAACCUUCUAAGCAAAAACGCACAAGUAUUGGUAUGGUAAAAUGCACCAAUACCAUCUCAAAGGCACCGACACCCAUCGCCUCAGAAACAUUAUAUUUUUUAUUACAUGUCAAAUGUAGCUUAAUGAUUUCUAUUCUUCUUUUUCUUCUCCAUGUAAUAUAAUGAUAAUUUUUUAAAUUUUUCUUAACUAAUUAAUUAGUAAUGAUUGAGAUUUGAAUUUAAGAAUUUCGACUUUGAAAUGUUCACACUUGGGAAGUCUUCAUCUACUUAAAAUAAUAACUAUUCACACCAGCCAUCCGAUCACACGAAGAAGAAGAUAAUUUUCUGAAUAAAAGUCGUUUGCUGGACAUCCAUAUAAAGGGAACGAAUUCUUUAGUUACAGCAUCCGAGCUAGAGACUCAAAAAUAUACAAGCACACAACAUCUUGUAAGUUGAAAGUUGCCGGCCGAGUGAAACAAUGGCUCAAGGGGGAAACAUGCAGAUGGAGACAUCAAAGUUGGUGAAUCCACAAGGGGAAUAUGAUCCCCAGGGAUUGAAAUUGGAGAAUCAACUGUUGGUGAACUCGCAAGGAGCGAAUCAAUCGGGAGGUAAUGUCCAAAUACCUUCCGCAAUGGUAAACCCUCAAGGUGGAAAUGCUGAUGCUGAAAAUGCUCGAAAUGGAAAUGCUCAAGGUGGUAUUGUAGAAGGCAGAUAUGCUCAAGGUGGAGGAUAUAUUCAAGGCAAAAACGCUCAAAGCAGCGAAAAUGCUCAUGGCGAAAACAAUUAUGAUGGAGGAAUCAUUCAUGGUGGAGGAAGUGCUCAAGGUAGAAAUGAUGAAGGUCCAUAUCAUCCAUAUCAUCCAUCCCAAGGUGAAAACGCUCAAGGUGAAAAUGCUCAAAGCGGAUAUUAUCCAUCCCAAGGUGGAAAUGCUCAAGGUGGAUAUUAUCCAUCCCAAGGUGGAAACGCUGAAGGUGGAAACGGUCAAAAAGUUAAAACUUUCAGUUUGUCUCAAAAAGUUAAAACUUUCGGUUUGUGACUUGGGUUUAAGUUGUUAGAUUGCAUGUUUUGGUGUACCUCUCAAGCAAUCUCCAACAAGCAGAGCGUUGGAAGCAAUGAAGAUUGAAGGUAAUCCAGUUUUUUGAGUCUUGAAGUCAGAAUAAAUAAAGAAGUCUUUGUGUUGUGAGAUUUCCUCUCCAACUUCUUAUGUCCUAGCCUGGUGUUGUGAGAGAAAUAACUACUGCUUUUGAAGACAUGUUAAGCUAGCUGCGUUUUCUACAAGUUCAGUUGAUGUUUCUUUUUUUUUUUUUGAGAAUGUCUGUUGAUGUUAUUCUUGUAAGGCGUGGGUCUUCUUGGUAAAUUUAUCAAUAAUAUUAGGAGUUUGAAUUUUAGAAUCGUUCUUAUUAUUACUGGGAGAUUUUAAUUAAAUAUUACUGAUUUUGAUCUGAAUGUAAAUUAGUUUUAUAUGAAUAUUUAAUUUUAUAGCACUGAUCUUUAGUUAAUUUAAUAUUAACUUAUAAGAUAUAAUUAACUGUAAAAAUGUAUGGAUUACUAAUAGAUUUCACUAACAUAUUGAAUACUAAUGGAUUUCAAAAGAAAAAAUUUCUAUCAAAUUCCUAAAUUUUUAGAAAAUUUAAUUAAUAGUUUAUUUUUAUUUUAAAAUUAUACAAUCAAAACAUAUAUAUAUUUUAUAAAAUCAAAUUAUUUAGUUUUUUUAUUAAAAAACCAUUAAUUAAAUUAUUUUAAUAUUAAUCAAAAUAAUUAAAUAAUAUAAAUAUUAAUAUUAUAUAGACUAAAUAAUGGAUGUAAUUAACUAUGAAAUUUAUUGAUCAAAAUGUGAAAGGAUAGUUAUAUAAUAGACUAAAUAAUAUUAAACUAAGAAAUGCUCCUUCUUCUCCCCUCGGUUUGAGGCAGAACUCACGAUUAAACUAGGUAAGAAUUUGGGCAUCGUCUUUGAAGGAGAUGAAAGGCUUUCAUAUCCUUAGGAGCUCUUGUUUAUGCAAAAAUUCAAAAUAAGUUUUUACAAAUUUGAGCUUAACACUACAAGAAUUCAAUUGAUCACUAACGGAUUUCACUAACGGUUAUCUCUAACAGAACAUGAAAAAUAUAUUAUCUACUAACGGAGGUACAUAACCGUUAGUAUCUUCGUUAGCGAAAAAUAUGCUCGUAACCAUCCGUUACAGGUCUGUUAGUAAAAUACUAACAGACAUUUUUUCCAUUAGAAAUCCGUAGGUAUUUUAUUAUUUUUUAUUUAAUAUUUUUUUAUUAAUGGACCAAUUAUCCUUUAGUGAAUUAUAAACCUAAAUACAAAAUAUCCUAACUGAAAUCCCUAGAUCGUGUGCUUGAAAAAUCAAAAUCUCUCUGAAAUCCGAAUUUGCGUCCAACCUCUGGGUUUUUCACUGCCACCACCAUCCACCAUUCGCCGCCAUCCACCAUCGACAGGUGCGCCCUUUUCGGCAUCACGAUCCACGAGUGAGCCCUUCUCUUUCUUUAGUCUUGCCAUUCUUCACAGACAAUGUCCAUAGGUGCGCUAUUUUCUUCCUAAUUCAUGUUCCGCUUGAUUUUUGAUUCAUGUUUUACUUGAUUCGUAUUCUGCCUUAAUCAUGUAAUUCAGUCUUGUGAAAAUUUUGUGAAAUGUUUGAUAUUUUUGAAAUUUUUGAUUUUUGUGAAAUUUGUGAUUUCUUUCCAGUGUACCUGCUGGUGCACUUGGCAAGUGCAUCAACAGGUGCACUGGAAAAUGCACCUGCUGGUGCACUCUGGUGCAAUGGAUAAUGCACCAGCAGGUGCACUUGGCAAGUGCACCAGCAGGUGCACCGGAUAAUGCACCUGCUGGUGUACUUGGCAAGUGUACCAGUAGGUACACUGGAAAGAAAUCACAAAUUUCAUAAAAAUCAAAAAUUUCAAAAAUUUCAAACAUUUCACAAAAUAUUCACAAGACUGGAGUAUAUGAUUAAGGCAGAACACGAAUCAAGUAAAACAUGAAUAAAAAAUCAAGCGGAACAUGAAUCAGGAAGAAAAUAGCGCACACUGGACACUGUCUGUCGAGAAUGGCAAGACUGGAGAGAGAGAAGGGCUCACUCGUAGACCGUGAUGCCGAAAAAGGCGCACAUGUCGACGGUGGAUGGCGGCAGCGGUAAAAGAUCCAGAGGUUGACUGAAAUUCGGAUUUCAGAGAGAUUUUGAUUUUCCAAGCAUAGUAUCUAGGGAUUUCAGUUAUGAUAUUCUGUAUUUGGGUUUAUAAUUCACUAACGAAUGAUUGGUCCGUUAAUAAAAAAAUAUUAGAUAAAAAAAAAUAAAAUCACCUACAGAUUUCUAACGGAAAAAAUAUUUAUUAGUAUUUCACUAACGAACCUGUUACGGAUGGUUACGAGCGUAUUCUUCGCUAACGAAAAUACUAACGGUUAUGUACCUCCGUUAGUGGAUAAUACAUUUUUCAUGUUCGAUUAGAGAUAACCAUUAGUAUCACAAUGAACUUCAAUACGUUAGUGAAAUCCAUUAGUGAUCAAUUGAAUUCUUAUAGUGAUAAAUAUUUACUAAAAGCAUUUUAUGUUUUAGUAGAUUGAUUUGGUGUGAACUCAUACGAAAAUCAUCCUAAUUUCAUAUCUUUAAAAUAUUAGUACAAUGUCCUAUGAAUAAUUGAAUUAGUCGUAUUAAAUUAAUAAAUUUUAAUUAUUUUAUAAAAGUAUAAUAAACUUACUUCAAUUAUCGAUUUAGUGAUUUGUAAAAAUUUUAGUUAUUAUUUAUUAAUUUGGUUAUCUUCGGCAAAAAAGAAAAUUUAUUACAUUGAAUUUAAAAAAAAAGCAGGUGAUGCAUGUUUGGUUUUAUGUCUUAUACUUAGCCUUAAGCCUUUUAUAAAUAAAUUUGUUAUCUUCGGCAAAAAAGAAAAGCAAGCUAUUGAGCCGUAAAAUUUCAGCUGAUGUAUUGGCGAAAAUUUUGUACUCUCUUAGUCGCUUUCAAUGGAAGAAUGGGCUAGGGUUGGUUGCUUCUUUACUAAAUAAGACACCAAAUUUCAAACUAUACAUACCCAUUAGUAGAAAGUUUUUGAAUGGCUAGGCUGGUCUUUCUUUUUUUUGGGUGCAUGGUGAAGGCAUGUAAGCCAUAGGAAAUUGUGGUUAGACGAUCAAGUGGAGCCUCAACGUGCAAAGUUGAUGUGGUUAGCAGGAAAUUGUUUUAAACUAUAGAACCAUCAUGUGCUUCAAGGGAAGACUUGGAAAUAUAAUUAUGCAUGGUUUUAUCAAGUAGACUAAGAAAAAACUAUAUCUCUUAGUAGAUUGUGAAUAGUAUUCAGUUUAAAUCGAAAAAACUGAUCGAAUCGAAUUAAUUUAAAAAUUUAAUUUAAAUUUUUAUUUAUUUCAGUUCGAAUUGAUUUUUAAUUUCAAAAAUUUCGGUUAUUACAGUUUAAUUUGGUUUUGAUCAGAAAAAAUUGAAAAAAAUGAACUAAAUCGAUUAAUGAUAAUAAUAUAUUAUUUUCAAUAAUACAGAGAGAUUAGAUCAUAUUAAAGUUAAAAUAUUCCAAUUAAAUUUUAAAAUACUAAAAAUAAAAUAUAAAAAAAUAAAAAAAUUUAUUAAAAAUUCAAACCGAUCAAAUCGAAUUGAAUCAAAUUAAAUCAGAUCGAUUCAGUUCGAUUCAAUUUCUAACUAAAAUCGAUUCGAUUUAAUUUUUAUAAAUAUUAAAUAUUUAAUUUUAUUCGGUUUGAUUUUAAAUCAAACCGACCAAAUUAUCAUCCAGUCUCUUAGUGCUUUGAUGCCAUAUUGCCAUUGCUUUCACAUUUGAAGAGUGUAUAUAGAAUACACUAUAUAAUCAUCACAUGCCUUACCAACAACUCUUAGGGAAGAAUAUCCAUAAUAUAUAAAGAGAAAGAGGGAGAGGGAAUAUUGAGAUAUUGCUAAAAAUAUCUUUACAUAGUUUUAAUAAUUACAAUUUUAUUUUAUUCAAAAAAUUUUCAAUUUGAUUGGUUAAUUGUAUUGGUUUUAUAUUUAAAUUUAAAUUAGUUGAAAAUUUAUUUUAACAUUUAAAUUCUAUAUAUUUAAUUAAAAAUAUAAAAAUAAUAUACUUAGACAAUUUAAAUGUAUUUAAUUAAUGUUAAUCAUUUUACAUUUUUAUUACUAUGUUAAUACAAUAAUUGAAGUUUUUUAAUUUAAAUUUUAUUAUGUGAAUAUAUAAAUACAACUUUAUAAUUAUAACUGAAUUUAUCAUUUUACUUUUUAUGAAUUUAUAUAUAUAUUAAAAAAUAAUUAAUUAUAAGUUAUAAUAUAAUAUACAAUACAUAAUAUUAUAUAAUAUCAGUAUAUUAUAUUUAUUUUCAAAUUGCUUUUUAAAAUAGUAAUUUUAUUUAUUUUUUAAAUGUUGACAUUUAUAAAGUCUUGGUCUACUUAAAAUAAGCAACUCUCCACACUCCACAGCUGUCAGCCGAUCACGUACAUGCAUGAAGAAGAUAACUUUCUGAAUCAAAAUCAUUUGCUGAACAUCUAUAUAAAGGGAAGGAAUUCUUCAGUUACAGCAUCCAAGCUAGAGACUCAAAAAUCUACAAGCACACAGGCCGAGUAAAACAAUGGCUCAAGAGGGAAACAGGCAGACAUCACAGCUGGUGAAUCCACAAGGGGAAUAUGAUCCCCAAGGAUUGAAAUUGGAGAAUCAUCAACUGUUGGUGAACUCGCAAGGUGGCAAUGUUGAAGGUGGAAAUGCUGAUGAUGAUGAUCAAAGUGGUCAAAGUAAUUGGAAAUGCUGCUUAAGAUGGAUAUGGCCGAAGUUGAAAUGGCCAAGUUGGAAACGCUGCUUAAGAUGGAAAUGGCCGAAGUUGAAAUGGCCAAGUUGGAAACGCUCAAAGUUGAGGUGGCCAAGCGAAUUAUACACUGUAAAUGGAGAAGCUCAAGACUGCUUGAGCAGUCCGUUAGUGACUAAUUCUCAUGGCGGAAGACGGGCCAAAAACUCAGCUCGGCCAUCCCAACGAGUUAAAACUUUCACACUGAGUGGAAAAUAACAACCGUUUGUUCUUCUAACUAAUGUUGUGACGUUUGGGUUGAAUUUUCACUUCAUGGGUAUGGUUUGUUUGUGUCUGUUUUUCCUCAUUUUUGCUUAACAUCCAGUUGUCAAGCUGGGAUUUACGGACCUGGUUUUAGGAUCAUGUACGUGUUUAAUUUUUCUUGAGACAUUUUCAAUGAAAUAAUAUGCUUUGUUAAUUAAAAGAAAAAGGACAAUGCCUUGGGAGUUGCACUUUGAAAGAAAAUUUGAGGUUAAAGGUUUGAUUUCAUGAAAUUUGCAAAAAAAAUCUAAGUUUUAUUUAAUUUAAAUGAGUUCCCUCUCAUAAGUAACUUAACUGGUUAGCCUCCAACGAAGAUCUCUCCACUAUGAUAAAAAUAAGGUUUAAGGUUUCCAACACGUCCUCCAAGUUCUUACAGUAGAUACACAAAUUAAUUUUAACAACAAUGAAAUUAAACAUAAUAAAAUGUUGGAGCUUUUUCUUUUUUGGGUUUGGAGAGCUCCAAUCCAUGAUUCAACCAUACAGAAUGAAGAUGAAAUGUCCUAUUUUAUCAGUCUAUAAUCAGCCCGGAUUGAUCUCUACACAAUUUUCACUCUCCUCGUGUUCCUCUCACUCAAUUCUUGUCUCUACACAGCCACCAACAGCCAACAAAGGCAGAGACGUCAAUCUUGGGAAUCUCUAAUUGUUGAAGAGAAGUGAAAUUCCAUGCGAAGUUCUUCAAACCCAGCAAACUAGAUCACUCAUGAUCACGUAGACUUGAAUAUGCACAAAAUUUCCCAGGUCUGAUUUCAACAAAUCACAUUCACAUGCAUACAUCAUCAGAUUGUAGUCAUUGUCUUGAUAUCUUCUCUACUUCUAUUUGUUAACUGAACAUUCCAAUCUGUCCUGUUCAAACAAAAUAAUUGAGAGAACUCAUGCAACAAU
rnacentral:lncRNA from 1 species